UACGGAGGGUGCAAGCGUUAAUCGGAAUUACUGGGCGUAAAGCGUGCGCAGGCGGUUUGUUAAGUCUGCUGUGAAAUCCCCGAGCUCAACUUGGGAAUUGCAGUGGAUACUGGCAAGCUGGAGUACGGUAGAGGAAGGUGGAAUUCCCGGUGUAGCAGUGAAAUGCGUAGAGAUCGGGAGGAACACCAGUGGCGAAGGCGGCCCCCUGGGCAGUAACCGACACUGAGGCGCGACAGCGUGGGGAGCAAACAGG
rnacentral:rRNA from 1 species